GAUAGAUUGCAUGUGAUUUGAUCACUUUAUGCCUCUUGCGCCUGUUUCAGAGGAAAAUUAAGGCUCUGUUGUUCAGUAUUUGAGAUGAUUUGGUGUCUCGUUGGUUGUGGAUAUCAACAUUUUUGUGUUUCUUUGUCACUGCUUACUUGGUAUGAACAGAGAUUGUCAGUUUGUUGAUUAUACAUUUAACAGCUUCAGAAUCACUGAUGCAAAUGUUGGAACCAAAAAGGACUAAUGUCCUGUUCGAGUAUAUAUAUAUAUAUAACAAAUGUUCUCCCAAUAAAGGUCAUAGCUUAAACAGUUAGGGCUAAGGGAUGGAAGUCCAAGUAAACUGCCCCAAGUCUUUGAGAUGGAAUUUCCUCUGCCCUACUACUGUCUUGUCUUUGCUUGAGAAAGUCCACCCUUAUCAUUUCUCACCUUUAUGAUCUUUACCCAGAAAGUUGAAUCUCUCCCUUUUCCUCUCUGUCUUAUUUUUUCCAACUGCAAGUGGCUUCUAAUCUAAAGCCAAGUGGGGUUCUAUCUUUCUCUCUCUUUUACACACACAGGAGACUGGGGUAGGGUUCCUGGUGGUUGGUGUACAUAAGCUCUUUAUUUUGGUACCGGACUUGGCCAUGCACAGAAUUGGUGGCAUGAGUACUUGCUGGGAGACCAAGAAGGAUAAGAAAGUAAACAAGGAAACUGCAUUCAUAAAGAAUGGAAGCAAAUUACUGGAGAAGCUUGUUGACAUUUGUGAUGGAAAAUGCAAUUCUAUUCGUAGUUUCUCUGCCACAGAGCUCAAGAAAGCAACAAACAACUAUGAUCCGCAGAAAAUAUUGACCGGCGAUUCAGGCUAUAAAUUGUACAAGGGUUUUUUGCAAGGCAGACCUGUUUCUGUUAAGAAAUUUAAGGAUGACGAUGAACAGUAUGAAUAUUGUUUCAAUGACAUUGUUUAUGCAUCAAAAAUGAGUGUACAUAAAAGUUUUAUGAAGUUGUUAGGCUGCUGCUUGGAGGCUCGGAUUCCUAUUCUAGUUUUCGAAUAUGUUGGAGAUUGGACACUUUCUGAUUUUCUAUGGGGCUCUGAGGAAGCCCGUUGUCAGCCUUUGCUAUGGAUUCCAAGGUCAAAAAUUGCAAUGGAUAUGGCUAAUGCAGUUGCUUUUCUUCAUGCUGCUUUUUCCAAACCCAUUGUUUUUAGAAAUAUCAAACCCUUGAACAUCUUACUGGAUGACAACCAUGAGGCCAAAUUGUCAGAUUUCUCGAUCUCCAUAUCGAUUCCUAAAGGUGAAUCUCAUGUACGGGAUUCAGUUGCAGGGGCAACAGGACUCAUCGCGCCCGAGUACCUGACCACUGGUAAUUUCAAUGAGAAGCAAGAUGUUUUCAACUUUGGUGUAUUCCUACUUGUGCUUUUGUCUGGACAGAUGGUGGUUGAUUUUUCUCGUCCUGAAAAGGAAAUUCUCUUACAAGAUCAUGUGAAAAAAUGCAUUGAAGAUGAUAGGUUUAACAAAGUCAUAGAUUCCACUAUCAUUGCCGAGGGGACUUGGCCAGGAAAAGAGCAGCAAUUGCAGGCUUAUACAGCACUUUCCCUGAGAUGCAUCUCUGAAUUAGCAGAAGAUAGACCAACAAUGAUUGAUGUUUCAAAGGAACUCAGGAAAAUAUAUUGGUCUGCAAUUUCUUGCCGUCAGCAAUAAGGAUGAUCAUGUGUACCUUUUCCAUUGACUGAUACUACCGAUUACUUCUUUCUUCGAGGCUACUCCAUCAGGAGCUACUGUUAAAUGUAAAAGGCUAAUACAGAAGAAAAUAACAGAACAACAAGUCAAGAACUCCAAGAAUUAAGAGUAGGCAGCAGCAUCAUGCUGUUAUCAUAAAGGAAAGAGCAAAGAAAAGGAAAGAUACAGGCUCUGUGUGUGUGUCAUUCUGAAAUGUUUCCAAGUGUUAUUUGGUUUACAUGUUACAAGGGGAGCACAAUGCAUGAAACUCAAUAGAGAAAAGGAAGACUACUGCAGGAGUUGCUGAUAGCCUGAGAUAUUCACUGUAUAGAUUGAUUCAGAAUGAGGCAAAGAGUUGUUUGGUGAGACUUGUUUGGGGAGACUCUGAGAUAUGAACAUACUCUCAAGUGGAGUUUUUUUUUUACUUGAAAUUUAUACAAACUCACACUUAUGUGUUGUGCUAUUAAUUAACUUGUAAUAGUUUAGAUGUUAA